GAUGAACGCUGGCGGCGUGCCUAAUACAUGCAAGUCGAGCGAACGGAUGAGAAGCUUGCUUCUUUGAUGUUAGCGGCGGACGGGUGAGUAACACGUGGAUAACCUACCUAUAAGACUGGGAUAACUUCGGGAAACCGGAGCUAAUACCGGAUAAUAUUUUGAACCGCAUGGUUCUAAAGUGAAAGAUGGUUUUGCUGUCACUUAUAGAUGGACCCGCGCUGUAUUAGCUAGUUGGUAAGGUAACGGCUUACCAAGGCAACGAUGCGUAGCCGACCUGAGAGGGUGAUCGGCCACACUGGAACUGAGACACGGUCCAGACUCCUACGGGAGGCAGCAGUAGGGAAUCUUCCGCAAUGGGCGAAAGCCUGACGGAGCAACGCCGCGUGAGUGAUGAAGGUCUUCGGAUCGUAAAACUCUGUUAUUAGGGAAGAACAUAUGUGUAAGUAACUGUGCACGUCUUGACGGUACCUAAUCAGAAAGCCACGGCUAACUACGUG
rnacentral:rRNA from 1 species